rnacentral:rRNA from 1 species
GAUGAACGCUGGCGGCGUGCCUAAUACAUGCAAGUCGAGCGAACAGACGAGGAGCUUGCUCCUCUGACGUUAGCGGCGGACGGGUGAGUAACACGUGGAUAACCUACCUAUAAGACUGGGAUAACUUCGGGAAACCGGAGCUAAUACCGGAUAAUAUAUUGAACCGCAUGGUUCAAUAGUGAAAGACGGUUUUGCUGUCACUUAUAGAUGGAUCCGCGCCGCAUUAGCUAGUUGGUAAGGUAACGGCUUACCAAGGCAACGAUGCGUAGCCGAUCUGAGAGGGUGAUCGGCCACACUGGAACUGAGACACGGUCCAGACUCCUACGGGAGGCAGCAGUAGGGAAUCUUCCGCGAUGGGCGAAAGCCUGACGGAGCAACGCCGCGUGAGUGAUGAAGGUCUUCGGAUCGUAAAACUCUGUUAUUAGGGAAGAACAAAUGUGUAAGUAACUAUGCACGUCUUGACGGUACCUAAUCAGAAAGCCACGGCUAACUACGUG